UUGUUAUGAUUUUCAUCAAUAAUACUCUGACUGUAGGUAUAAAGCUGAGUUUUAAGUGGUCCACCGGGGGAACCUCUGAGAGGUAAUUAUGGCGACCCCGAGGCAAACACAGGAUUGUGGUACAAUGGGUUGGAGGUCGGCUCGAAAGCCUUCACUCUGUAAUGAUCCCUCCGCAGGUUCACCUACGGAGA
rnacentral:misc_RNA from 1 species